AACAUUUUAGAGUAUAAGUAAAUGCAUAAAAGUGCUUAAACUUGAAUUGCUACAAAAUAUAGAAGCCAUUUGGAAAUGUUUUAUGGAUUACAUUAAUGUGUGUGUGUGCCCAAGAAACAUAAGAUAUAUAUUUGUUGUUGCAUAAUGAGUUCUGACAGCACGCUUCCUAGAAGGUGACGUUCACCUAAGCAGUAUUUUACUUUUCAUUCUACAGCAUUGCAAAAAGUGACUAAUGAUAGAGAAAAUACUGAAGAGCAUCUCCUUUGAUACUAACUUCAAGCUUCUAAACCGUGAGAAGGACCCAUUUAAAACAUUAGGCUCAUUUACUGAUGAGAGUGGACCAAAGAAAAUCACUCUAUGCAUCUAAGCAACAAGUCUUUGCUUCAAAGUCUUCUGAGACUAGAAGAGCCCCUGGAGCAAUCAUUCUGCUUCCAUAUCCACACCAUGGAACUCUUAGUCCCAGACCCUCAAAUUACAGUACCUGAGGGAAAAUUUAGGGGGCACUGAAACCAAAUACCUUCACAUGUCAGAUGAUAAAAUAAAUCAGGUAGACAAAAAGUCUUAUCCACAUCAUGCAGAGACCAAAACCCAGAGCUCCACAUUUUCAGGCAGAGCCCUCAGCCUCACAUCACUAGGCUUCAUUUCUACCAAUAUCACACUAGUGACUAAAUGUCCUUUGCCACUAGAAUGUAUUUAUGCAGAACUAAACUAAAGUAUCGAUGAUCAAAUUAGAUUUAUUUCUUCUCAUUCAGUCCUUAAGUGGAAACAGCAAAAUGCUGGUUGCCUUCUCUUAAAAAAAAAACAAACAAAAUGGGAAGGAAGGAAGGAAGGAAGGAGGGAAGGAAGGAAGGAAGGAGGGAAGGAAGGAAGGAAGGAAGGAAGGAAGGAAGGAAGGAAGGAGGGAAGGAGGGAAGGAAGGAAGGAAGGAAGAAAAAUAAAAAAGCAAGAACGAACAAAGAGUGAACAAAUGAACAAACGGAAGAAAGAAUGAAAAAGAAAAGAAAGAAAACAAGAAAUGAAGAAAGAGAGGAAGAAAGAAAAGAAAGAAAAAGAGAAAGAGAAAGAAAUAAAGAAAGAAAGAAAAGAAAGAAAACCUAAAGAUCUUUUAUCGUCACAUUCAAAUAAGAGUAAAUCUCCAGAGGCCAUCUUAUCUACCCCUUCCCACUGGGCAUUACUCAACAGAGAACCAAUAGCUAGGAACUUCCUCUAUUCCUGAAGAUUUUCAAGAAAGGAAGAGAAAUAUCUCGGGAAGUUUAGGAAACAUAAAUGUUUAGGCUCAUUUAUUGAUGGAAGUGGGCAAAAUCAAAUCAUCCUAUGCAUCUUAGUAACACUAUGUGGUAUCACAAGCAGCUUGACAUAGCAGGCUGGCAUCAAUUGUCGUAGGUAAGUGCUAAUUGCUGAAGAUCUACCAAAUUUGCUGUGUGCUUUUACUAAAAAUAUCUUUGAAAGUUCCACAGCCUUCCAAGAUUUUGUAUUCCUUGAUAUAAUCUUUAAAUUGCCUUCUUCACAUUCCCUCUUGUUUGUUAGUAAUGAAAUGCCAGUGAUCACAGUACUGGAAGAAAGAAAAUAAAGAAGAGGACAAUAGAAAAUCAUGGUUAUGAUUUGUGGAGCAAAGAAGGGCUUUCAGCAUUAAUAUUUACGUUAAUGUUUACAUUAAAGUGGGACAGAUUACACUACUUUUUACCCACUUCACUUAUUCUUACCCUGCAUAGAGUUAAAUACUUACUGUUUGUGCCUUGUGAGAACUCUAAAAUUAUAGUGUACUAGUAAAUCUACUUUAUCUUGCUGGCACGAGUCAGCAGACAAAACAGGAGCAGGAGAAAUAUGUUGUCAAAUCAAUGGUGAUACUGACUGAAUUUUAUCAGUGUUUCAUCUUUAGCUGAACUAUAUGAACUCAUUGAGAUUUUAAAAAAUAUGUAAACUGUCUAAUCUAUUUUAUAGCUCUGUUUUACAGAGUUAUAACAUGCCAAGAACAAAGUUACAAAAUCCAAAACAUACAAGAUAGCAUCACCUCUAUUUUUUUCUGAAAAUUCCGAAAGUGCAAUGAUUAGAACACACUUCAAACCUCACAGCUCUGUAUUACUUAGGAAAAAAAUCCCAACAGCUAUCCAGUUGUGCUGUGAGGUCAUUUCUCAAAGCAUGGGCAUUAAGAAACCUAGCAAUCUAUGUUUAUGGUUUCUUUAUCUGGUAGUAUAAUACAAUGAAAAUCUCACAUAUAAAAUUUAUAAUGUGAUAUGUACAGGUACAAGGGAGGAAUUGCUAUGUUCCAAAUGAUUUUCUGUCAUCCCUUAGUUCACUGUUUCUUUAAUCCUUUAAAACAAUCUGUACAGCCAUUUGCUGUAAAAGAUUAUUACAUUCUUAUUUCCACUGUGUAAUCAUAAUUUUGAAUGUACUCUCUAAUUUCCCAACAUCGUUUCCAAUUCCAUAUAAACCCAUAUGAGGGUGCUCCCAGCAAAACUAAUUAGGGGGAUAACUGUGUAAUGUGAAAAAAUAAAGAUUUGGAAUAUUAUCCUUGUGUUUUUUGAUUUGCUAAAAUUCAGCUUGUAACAAUUAGAUACUACAGCUGGAAAAUUAGUGAUUUUAUUUAUAUAAUAGGAUCUGUCACAAAAGAGCCAAACUGGCAAAAUCACUAAUAGUCAUAACCUAAAUCACCGAAUCAACCAAAAUAUUAUAAAGUUCAGCUUUUAUUUUUAUGCCUAUUACCCUUUUCAUGGCAAUGGGUUAUUUCAAAUAUCUCACCACAAGCCCUGAGAACACAGCUGGGUUACUUGAAACCAGUAGCUCUAAACCAGUGGUGACUUGCCCCCUAGGUGACACAUGUCAGUGUCUGAAGACAGUUUUGCUUGUGACAGUUUGGGGGAUGCUACUGACAUCUUGUGUAGGGCUCAGGAAUGCAGCUAAACAUCCUACAGUAGCACAGAGGACAGCCCCCACAAAGAAGAAUGACCUGGGCUAAAAUGUCAACGGAACUUAAAAAAAGGUUACUAGUCUAAGUGAGCUUAAGUUGAGAAACCCUGCACUAACAUUAAGAACUAUGUGUCCAACACGCUUGCAACAUGUUAUGCAAAUACCUGCAUUUUGUGAGGUGGGGGGUGAAUACAGCCAUUCUAGGGAGAGUAAUUUGUUCGAACUUGGGUAUUUCAGCCCAAUAAGCUAGUAAGAUAUUUGCUUUUUCUAACGUGGAUUCAUCAGGGCAGUGCAAUUUAACUAUUUUAUUUAAAAUAUGGUAUAUACUCUUUCUUUGUGGUUUUUCUGUGAGUGUGUUUGUGGUGUGUGAGUGAAUUUCUGAAACAGAACCGUAGCAAGCAAACGGCAGAUUUGGUUUUAUCAUCAAGUUUCUGUUAGACAUUUCGAUAAGAUUAUACAGAGCAUAUAGUGGAUGCCUACUACAUAUUUAUUGAUUUUUGAAAAAAAAUGUUUGUGAACCUAUUUCUGCUAUCUUCCUCUUUAGAGAACUGUGAUUGCAUUUUUCUUCUUUUUUUCUAACAUGUAUAGAGUGCCCGUUGCCAUGGUAAUCACUGAUUUAGCACAACAUGUUUUUUUCCUCCUUCUUUAAAAAAAAAUUAGUUCCCAUUCCUGCCAAAAAGGAACAUAUUAAUCUACCCAUCAUGCUAGCUUAGGGAAGUUGAAGGCCACAGAAGUUGUCAUUUGUGCAAAGACUCCCAGAAAGUCAGUUGUUAGCAUCUUCUGUGCCAAGAACUCUACCCCAAUCCCAGAGAGGAAAUGAGACACUGAAGUAAAAGAUUCUGGAGCUAAGGAGGUAAGGUCUCUCUUCUUUUCUGCAAAGUCCCACAGGAGAUGUGCACAAACGCUCAUGUCUGUCUAAACAAAUUCACCUGCUGAUUAUAGAUUUAACAGACCACUGAUGUCCAGAAAACAGGGACUAACUAGACAGUGCUCUUUAGGACAAAAGUUUACCUUAAUCUACUUACUUCUGAGGGUAGGGGAACAACAACAACAGCAACAACCAAAGAAACAAAAACCUUUCGAGAAGUCUAAAAGAAGUAGAGCAAUCCUAUUGAAGAAACCAAAAUCAACAGUUUCAUUUCUUUAUCAAAUAAAAAGUCCUGCCUGAGUCUCCUGACUGACUACAUUCUUUCUGGUAUUAGGUAAAUCAGAUCUCACGUCCGAUCUAGCCCUGCUGUUCAGACCACGAAUUCCUGUAAACAUACAUAUCCAGAACUGUGCGCAGACCUGUCUUAUGACAAUGGUCUGUGCUCACCUGGAUUUUUAUCACUGGUGCUCUUAGUCAGGAUACCAGAUUCUCCCUAAUUUCUCAAGUCAAAUCCGAAGGCUGCCCUGCUUGUGGUGUUCCACAAAUCUGUCUGGCCCCUCAUGAGAAAUGCCACCUACUUGAAUGAGAGCAUUUAAGUCAGAGGAAGACAGCACAGAGGGUGACUUUAGGUUCCCGUCUGACAUAUUUACUGUUCUGAGAAGAAAGGUAGUGGAAGAGAAAGAAAAACUAAAGUGGAACUGCAGGAUUUUUGAUUUUCAGAAAUGUCUGCUUAUUACCAGAGUGAUAAGAACUCAAAAUUAAGACAUGGGAAAGGAAAAGAUAGGGAUAUAGAGUCAGAGAGCUGUUCCUUAACCAAAGGCUUUACAGAAUUAGAACACAGCUUACACAGGAAAUUCAACGCAAGAAGGUCCUGCUCUAAAUAAAAACAGAUGAGGAGAAAGUCCAUUCAUUUUUAGUAAUAGUAUGCAUGGAGAAUGAACACACGCUGCCUUUCACAUAGACCCUUAUAACUGUUCGUAUUGUUCUGUAAAAUCAGCAUAUUUCUUAUUUUCUUCUGGGAACAAAGACUUGGCUAUGCAUUUCCUUUUAAUUUCAUGGAAAUGGGAAAGGGGUAAAAGGAAAGAAAGAUAAUACUUUCUGAAACCUUGAAUGUUUUGCUGAAAACACCCUUAAAGGAAUGUAUCUCUGUUAGGAUAACAAAAACACUUAAUAAAAUAUUCUUUUUUUUAUUAUUAUACUUUAGGUUUUAGGGUACAUGUGCACAAUGUGCAGGUUUGUUACGUAUGUAUCCAGGUGCCGUGUUGGUUUGCUGCACCCAUUAACUCGUCAUUUAGCAUUAGUUGUAUCUCCUAAUGCUGUCCCUCCCCCCUCCCCCCACCCCACAACAGUCCCCGGAGUGUGAUGUUCCCCUUCCUGUGUCCAUGAGUUCUCAUUGUUCAAUUCCCACCUAUGAGUGAGAACAUGCGGUAUUUGGUUUUUUAUCCUUGCGAUAGUUUACUGAGAAUGAUAUUUUCCAGUUUCAUCCAUGUCCCUACGAAGGACAUGAACUCAUCAUAUUUUAUGGCUGCAUAGUAUUCCAUGGUGUAUAUGUGCCACAUUUUCUUAAUCCAGUCUCUCAUUGUUAGACAUUUGGGUUGGUUCCAAGUCUUUGCUAUUGUGAAUAGUGCCGCAAUAAACAUACAUGUGCAUGUGUCUUUAUAGCAGCAUGAUUUAUAGUCCUUUGGGUAUAUACCCAGUAAUGGGAUGGCUGGGUCAAAUGGUAUUUCUAGUUCUAGAUCCCUGAGGAAUCGCCACACUGACUUCCACAAUGGUUGAACUAGUUUACAGUCCCACCAACAGUGUAAAAGUGUUCCUAUUUCUCCACAUCCUCUCCAGCACCUGUUGUUUCCUGUUGUUUCCUGACUUUUUAAUGAUGGCCAUUCUAACUGGUGUGAGAUGGUAUGUCAUUGUGGUUUUGAUUUGCAUUUCUCUGAUGGCCAGUGAUGAUGAGCAUUUUUGCAUGUGUUUUUUGGCUGCAAAAAUGUAUUCUUUUGAGACGUGUCUGUUCAUGUCCUUUGCCCACUUUUUGAUGGGGUUGUUUGUUUUUUUCUUGUAAAUUUGUUUGAGUUCAUUGUAGAUUCUGGAUAUUAGCCCUUUGUCAGAUGAGUAGGUUGCAAAAAUUCUCUCCCAUUCUGUAGGUUGCCUGUUCACUCUGAUGGUAGUUUCUUUUGCUGUGCAGAAGCUCUUUAGUUUAAUUAGAUCCCAUUUGUCAAUUUUGGCUUUUGUUGCCAUUGCUUUUGGUGUUUUAGACAUGAAGUCCUUGCCCACGCCUAUGUCCUGAAUGGUAUUGCCUAGGGUUUCUUCUAGGGUUUUUAUGGUUUUAAGUCUAACAUGUAAGUCUUUAAUCCAUCUUGAAUUAAUUUUUGUAUAAGGUGUAAGGAAGGGAUCCAGUUUCAGCUUUCUACAUAUGGCUAGCCAGUUUUCCCAGCACUUUUGACAAAAUUCAACAACCCUUCAUGCUAAAAACUCUCAAUAAAUUAGGUAUUGAUGGGAUGUAUCUCAAAAUAAUAAGAGCUAUCUAUGAAAAUAUUCUUAAAGCAGUUGGUCUCUAAAAGAAAAUGUGAGGUGUAUGCAAUUAGUAGCAAAUAUGUAUUCAAUUGUACUAAGCAUGACCAUUCUUCCCCUUUAAAUCCUCAAUCCAUGGAGUGUGUUUGUUAAUUAGGCAGCAACUUGAAGAGCGCAGCUUUUCCCAUAGAAGUGAGGUGCUCAACUACUCAACCAUGAAUCUCUAUGGUUACAUGAAUCUAUGCAUGGUCUGCAAACCACUUACACUCCAGAUUUCAAUUCUGCUGCCAAUAAUAAUAGUAAUAAUACCAUCAGUCUAUUCUAGUAGCGCAGUGCAAAUUUAAGAUCGUUAGAAGAUGAUGAUAGAAAUUUGAAAGCAAUAGAUUACAAAACAAGACUACAUCAAAGCAUAACACGCAACACAACACUUUUUCAAUUAUGUACAUAACCUGGAAAAACUAGUUGGCAAUGAAAAAAAUACAUUGAGAAGUACCUUAUUAGUUCAUUAAAUUUUUCUGUAACCUUAUGUUUCUUCAAAAAGAAAAAAGGGUUACUAGUCUAAGCGAGCUUUUAUCUUCGUUAAGCAGCAUCCUUUUAACCCCCAUCAUCUCUAAUAACUAAAUAAAACAAGAAGAGAAGUUAAAGAAGCAAACUAGCAGGAGAAACUGUAGGUUGCUAUAUCAAUGACAAUUAUUCCAGUGAUAAUGACCUGACUUUUUGGAUUGGUCUUCUAGCUAGUCCACAGGGAUCCACUGUUCAGGAUGGUGUUAGGGGAGGUGGGCUUUGUCAGUUUGCACAAGGUUUGACAGGUUUUAGGGUUUAAAUCUGCAAUUUCUAUGGCCCUGGAAAAGUAAUGUCUAAAUAUUGCUUAACUGAAAGUUGUUGAUGAGAAUAUUUCAGUGCUCUGUGCAAAGAGUGGUUCCGUGGAUCAGUUAAUUUUAUUGAACAGAAAAAAGGUGAAGUAUUGUUGUAGGGAUUGAAUGAGAACAGACACAUAGUGUUUAAAGUAAUUCCUGGCACAUAGUAGAUAUCCAAGAAGGUGUCUGACUCCACCCCUUCCCUUCCUCUCUUUCUGAAUUGUAUUCCACUCUUAGGUGCUAGUGUAUACAGGUCAUGAGCUAAUGUGCCCAUUGAUGGUUUAGCUUGUGACUUUCAGGUCAGUUUUCUAAGUUGAUAAAAACAAGUAUUAUGGAUAAUAAAAUUCAGAGUCAGUUCCAAAAUGGAAUAAUUGGCUUGUCUCAUAUUCCAUAGUCAAAGCUCAUCUCAGCUAAGUUUUCCAUUGCUCACAAUGAGGACUAGGGAAGAGGAAUUGCUGCAAAUCCAUUUUCACAGGUGGGUAAUCAACACAGGAAGCACUGUCAACUGAUUGCGGACGUGAUACCAUCUAUGCACUUAAAAGUUUUCAUAUUAUCAUUAUUAUUUAUACAGAUACAUUUGCCUAGCCUGACCAUUCCAGAUCAGUCUUCUGAACGCUAGCUGCAUAUCAGAACCACGUAUGUACAGUUUCAUAAAUAUGACAAUACUCAGGCCCCACCCUGAGACAAGUGGCACAAAGCAUUGAGAAGUGGAAAGGAUUCUCACCAGGUGAACCACUCUGCGAAUCAAUAGAAACAGAGAUCCAGGUCACAGAAAAAUAUUAUCUUUCUUCCCUGGGAAUCACCAGCAUUUGCACAGAUUUCUACAACUAGCUACAUGACCCAGGGCAAUUUCUUAAAGUGGGACACAGUGUGCUCUGAAUGCAGACCUGACACUAAAUUUAUAAUGGUUGGGUAGCUGCUGCCUUAUGGAGAAUGGCCUGUGGGACACUGAACUUACACAUUAAACAGCUGAGCCAACGGACGUUUCAACUGCCAGCAAAAUAACAGAAUGGGGAGACCCUCUGUUCAUUUGACACCAGUGCCAACUCGGAAAAACAGCAUUUCUUCUGCAGUUAUUGAAAGAAAGUAACCCAGAAGUACCCACAGUCUUUUAGCUCUUAAAAUGUGGAGCCACUUUUUCUUUUCCAGCUUAUUUUCAAUGCAAACCUGAUGCCAGGCUCAAGAGAAGUACAACGUGCCUUGGUUCCUUCUCCCUAGUCUUGAUCAGCUUCUUCAAUUCCACUUGCUGAUCUGGCCUCCAGUUUGGCUAGCUUUUUAGAGGAGUCUCUCAGCACUACCAGCACAGGAGUUUUUGACCUAUGUUACUAACACGUGUAUCAUAUCUAGAUCCACCCCUCACCAUAUGUCAUGUUACUGUCUUGUUCCUGGUUAUUAGUGGUAUAUUCGUUUUUCUACUGUAUGUUGUUAAAUUUUAAAUAACUUAAACAAUUACAAUAGCAAUACAAUUUCAUUAUAAAAACCAGAACAUAUGGAUAAACAGAAAGAAGAAAAUAAUAUCCACUAUCACACCAUUAAGGUUACCAACACAAUUUUCAAAUGAAUUUCCUAUGUACAUAUUUUUAUGUUUAUAAAAAUGCAAUCAUAGAAUAGUCAAUAUGAUUUUAAAAAGUCUCUUUUAUGAAAUAAAAUAUGUGAACAUCUUUUUGUAAAUAAUUAUUCAUUUGAAACAUUCUUUUAAAAUGGCUGUAUAGUAUUUCCUUGUGAUUUUUCAUAACCAUCCCCACAUUGAUAAAUAUUUAGCUUGUUUUGAAUAUUCUGCUGUUAUAAACCAUGACAGGAUGAUAGUUACAGCUCUUCUUCAACUGCUACUACCCAGUUUGAUUGAUAAAUGACACACUUCCCUUGGCCUAGGAAGAAGCAACAGAUUCUGAUAUUUGCAAAAUCUGUCAAUGUGGCUUAUCAAGAAAUAGACUCUAUCUAUUUAUCUAUCAUCUAUAUAUUUGACAAAACAUUUUGAAAAAUGACUUUUAAAAAUCUAAUAAGGAAUGUGAAGGCACAAACAGCCCAGGGUCCCAAGUGAGAAAGCAUCUGUCAGAGAUUCAUCAGUCAGGAGUACCUAUUAUUUUAACAUUUUCAUGGUCAUAUAAGAGGAAAGAACAGGUAAAACAGCCAAAGUAUCAGCUGAUUCCCAUUGAUUUAGAACAGAACUGCAGAAAUGGUGAAAGAUUUUUCUACUAGAUUUAGCUUCCCAGCAAGAAAUCUAGACAGCAAUCUGCAUGCAGCUAACAAGAUGCCUUCGGGAAACCAAAUACAAGAUUCACGGACACUAUUUUGUGAGGGCCUCCUCUACCCUUCGUCUCCCCUUUUUCACAUACCCCACACCAGGAUCAGAGAAGUCUGGGGAAAAAUCAACAGAAACAACAUGCCAGGUAGGUUAUGGCCACUGUAACCUUGCUGCAGCUUAGGCUAGGCUCUUAGGAUGACCUUCUCAAAAUCCUUCAAGGAGAAGUUGGCUGAAGGAAUUUUAUCCAGGUCUGGAAUGGUCUCGUCUCUAGAGGUCUAGAUCCAAAAAAUAAAAAGACUGCAAUUUUUAAUCUGACUCUUACCAGAAUGAAAAACCAUCUAAAUGCUCCCUAGGGGCAUUAAAUUGUUAUGUUACCAAAAAUGCUAUGCUGUGGGAAAUACUAAUAUUAAGUAAAUAGCCCCUGUCAUUUUUACCAAGGACAUUUGGGGGGAAAAAAUCAUUGACGAAUAACUGAAACCAUCUUAAGUUGCUGAAACUGACCUAAUGAAAACCACCAUCUUUCUAAAUUCCUUAGCCAAUUAACUAAGGGAGGAGACCACCCCUCGUAUUGUCUUAUGCCCACUUUCUGCCUCCAAAGAAAGAAAAAGUAAAAACUAAAAGGCGGAAAUGAAAUCCACAAGCAGACCGCUCAGCACCACACCCUGGGCCUGGUAGUUAAAGAUCGACCCCUGACCUAAUCGGUUAUGUUAUCUAUAGAUUACAGACAUUGUAUAGAAAAGCACUGUGAAAAUCCCUAUCCUGUUUUGUUCCGAUCUAAUUAACGGUGCAUGCAGCCCCUAGUCACAUACCCACUGCUUGCUCAAUCAAUCACGACCCUCUCACGUGCACCCCUUAGAGUUGUAAGCCCUUAAAAGGGACAGGAAUUGCUCACUCGGGGAGCUCGGCUCUUGAGACAGGAGUCUUGCCCAUGCCCGCAGCAGAAUAAACCCCUUCCUUUUUUAACUCGGUGUCUGAGGAGUUUUGUCUGCGGCUUGUCCUGCUACAUAACAACUUAUAUCAUUCAUCACUACCCUCAUUUCCAUUAAACAAAUGGUUAAGUUUAGGGAGAAUGAUGCCAGAGGCUGAAGGCCGAUCCUAGAACCGAAAGAUGAGGGUACAUAAUUGAAGGGAAGACUCACUCAGGAGAGAAAAAGAAAAGGAGUCAGACUGGGCUAUCUGAGAAUUCACAAAGGAAACUAGAAGCUGUGUAGUCAAAAUGUUCCUGGCAACAUGGCAAAUGUAUUUCAAAUCAAACCACGCAUUCACUAGAUUCUCCUUUUCUAAUCUUUUGUUUUCUCUUGGCCUGAGUCAAAGUCCUUUGUAAAACUUUCAUGGAUCAGAUGAGGAAGAAAGGGGAGAAGGAGAGGCAGGCAGACAGGGAGGAAAUGAGAGGGUGUUCCUGCUGGCAAACUCAGUGGGGAAUGAACUACCUCCUUCAGAGGGAAAAUGAGGUGGGAGGGACAGAGAGCCAUGUGAAAGAAAGGUGCCAGUUUCCUUGCAAGAUGGGGGCAGGGGAGGGCUCUUCUCAGAAAACUAGAAGAGAUUUUGGUGGUGAUAUCAGAACUGGAGCAUCUGCCUUCUAAGGACUUUGUCUGCCAACUGGCAUAGGGAGCACUGCCCAGAGAGCCAGUUCUCCUUGUAAUAAGGAAAGGCAGGAAAUGGGCAGGGAGCAGUAAACUCAGUGGGAAAAGCCACAUUUGAAACACUUGGGAGACAGGAGGAGAAAAAAGAAGCCACACAGAAUUUUGGUGGCACAAGGAGAAGGACAUCUAUAUCUUGUAUUUGCAUGGUGUUUUACAGUUUAGAAAACACAGACACCAUCAUAGGUCACUGUGAGGUGGGAACAGUUAUCACUGUUUUCCAGUUGCAGAAAUUAUCACCCAGAAAUAAGGGAAAAACCUGAUUGCAAGUCUUCUUAUAUGGGUCUGUUCUUUCUACUACAUCUAAGACAUUUCUCUGUGGCAUGCCUGCACUUUGCAGUGUUACCUUCCAAACACCAUCUACUUUCAGAACCCUACACUUCAGAGAAACUGUACUUGUACCAUUCUUCAAACACACUACAAGUUUUCCUGCCUCUAUGUAUUUGUUCAUACUAUUUCUGCCGCUUAAACUUCUUUACCCAACUUGGGCUGUUAGAAUGUUGCCCAAACCUUUCAAGGUCUAAAUCUCCACGUUACCUGUUUUUCUUCUAGGCUAUUUUUUUAAACAUGAUUCUUUGUAUUACAGAUAUUUACAAACAUUUCUUCUCCCAUACUAAAUUUCACUUUGUAUUCAUUUUACUGCCUAGUUAAGCUCCUUGCAUAGUAAGGAAAUUAGUUUUCAAUGAAUAGGCCAGUCAAAAGAAAAAAAAAGAAAAAGAAAAGAAAAGAAAAAGAAA